UACGGGGGGAGCAAGCGUUGUUCGGAUUUACUGGGCGUAAAGGGCGCGUAGGCGGUCAGCACAAGUCAGUUGUGAAAUCUCCGGGCUUAACCCGGAAAGGUCAACUGAUACUGUGCGACUAGAGUGCGGAAGGGGCAACUGGAAUUCUCGGUGUAGCGGUGAAAUGCGUAGAUAUCGGAAGGAACACCGGUGGCGAAAGCGGCACGCUGGAUCCCUACUGACGCUGAGGCACGAAAGCCAGGGGAGCAAACGGG
rnacentral:rRNA from 1 species